rnacentral:rRNA from 1 species
GCCCGCUCAAGAAACUCAAAUGAAUUGACGGGGCCCGCACAAGCGGAGGAACAUGUGGUUUAAUUCGAUGAUACGCGAGGAACCUUACCCGGGCUUGAAUUGCAGAGGAACAUAGUUGAAAGAUUAUGGCCGCAAGGUCUCUGUGAAGGUGCUGCAUGGUUGUCGUCAGCUCGUGCCGUGAGGUGUCGGCUUAAGUGCCAUAACGAGCGCAACCCUUAUCAUUAGUUACUAACAGGUCAUGCUGAGGACUCUAGUGAGACUGCCGUCGUAAGAUGUGAGGAAGGUGGGGAUGACGUCAAAUCAGCACGGCCCUUACGUCCGGGGCUACACACGUGUUACAAUGGGGGGUACAGAGGGCAGCUACCGGGCGACCGGAUGCCAAUCCCAAAAACCUCUCUCAGUUCGGAUCGAAGUCUGCAACCCGACUUCGUGAAGCUGGAUUCGCUAGUAAUCGCGCAUCAGCCACGGCGCGGUGAAUACGUUCCCGGGCCUU